AAAUUUUGUUUCUUUUGCUUUUCUGGUAAUUUAAUUCAAGAAAUCGUGAGGCCAUAUCCAGUUGACCUGGAAAUCUCCCUAUAAAGCACUUCAGUGGAAAACAUCUUCAGUACCUGAGAAGAGCUACUGACCAGCCUGAUGAUGCCAUGAUGAAGAGCUGAACAUCCUGGGCCUACAUCCUAGAGCUCAAACAUCCACCACACCUGCUUUUAGAUGAGUAGUUUUGUCUUCUUUUCAACUGUAUUAAGGAAGGCAGAAGGACGUCACCUAAUGUUGUCUUUUGACUACUGAUGAUGAGGAUCACAGUAUGGACAUUAAAGUUAAAUGAGGAUGCAGAGUGUUUAAGACCUCCAGGACUCUUUCCAAUCAUCUAGAUUCUGCACUCCGAUUUAUAGUUGCAGUAACUUAGAUACUGACAUAAUUCCCUCCUGUUGUCUGCUGUCUUUGAGGAAUUUUUUCUCAUGGAGGAACAGUAAGAGCAUGG